CAGACAGUCUAUUCUCACAUCGAACGUCUCCCUAAAGAAGGAGUCCCAUUCUCUAAGGUGGUGGUAGUGACCCCAUUCAGGAUUCCCUCCUUGCACAUCCCAAAGUCUGCCAGCUUACAGUGACCCUCCGCAUCCAGCAGUAUGUUGUCCAACUUCAAGUCCCUGCAGAAGACAAGAGUUAUAAAGAAUUCAAAGUGACCUGUCUCUUGAAGAUGGAGGAGAAAUAGACAGGAAAAGGAAGGGAAAGGGAACAGACUGGGAAAAUCAGAGCAAAUUGAAGGUUGAGUGGGAGAAAGAGACCGAGGGUCGAGAGAGAGGGAGAAGUGAGAGAUAAGAGCAGCAGUGUUGAAAGAUGACAGGGCUGGUCAUGAAUGCAGCCGCUCUUGGACUUGAUGGUUGAUCGCUUCAAAAAUGUCAACAUCUCCUGGAUGUAGCCAAUGCAACCAUUCAGCCCGAGGUGUUUUCAAAAAAACAGCCGCCCUGACAAGCCGGGGAGGAGAUGAAGCAUGUGUGUGCGUGUGUUUCUGAAGUCAAGAGCUUAUGUAACUGUUCUGUUUUUGUAAG